rnacentral:lncRNA from 1 species
GAAACUUUGAUGGUUUUGUUGAGGAUGUGUCCCACCAAAUUUUUAGGAGAAGGCAGUGAAUAUGGUUUGUAAAUAGGUUUAAACAUUUGGACCUCUUGAGAAACUAGUUGUAUUCCAAAGCAUUCUGUUUCACUUGAAAUAAAAACUAUCACCCAAACUUGGCGUUUGAUUCUGAAAAACUUAACUUGGUAAUUUGGAGAAACAUGGUUUUGGAAUAAGGACUUGUUUCCACCG